CUGUCUCUUGCUUCAACAGUGCUUGGACCGAACAG
rfam:TPA: Bos taurus chromosome 1, whole genome shotgun sequence.